ensembl:miRNA
UGAGGCAGAAGAAUUGCUUGAACCCAGGAGGCGGAGGUUGCAGUGAGCCGAGAUCGUGCCACUGCACUCCAGCCUGGGUGACACAGCGAGACUUCAUCUC